AGGGAAUCCGGUGAGAGUCCGGAACUGACGCGCAGCGGUGAGGGUGACGGGCGGGGCAGCAGCCACUGGACGACGGCCACGGCCGGGUCCGGGAAGGCGUCCCGCCGGGAUGAUCCCGAGUCCGAAGACCU
rnacentral:ncRNA from 1 species